rnacentral:rRNA from 1 species
ACUCCUACGGGAGGCAGCAGUGGGGAAUCUUCCGCAAUGGACGAAAGUCUGACGGAGCAACGCCGCGUGAGUGAUGACGGCCUUCGGGUUGUAAAGCUCUGUUAAUCGGGACGAAAGGCCUUUUUGCGAAUAGUGAGAAGGAUUGACGGUACCGGAAUAGAAAGCCACGGCUAACUACGUGCCAGCAGCCGCGGUAAUACGUAGGUGGCAAGCGUUGUCCGGAAUUAUUGGGCGUAAAGCGCGCGCAGGCGGAUCAGUCAGUCUGUCUUAAAAAGUUCGGGGGCUUAAACCCCGUGAUGGGAUGGAAACGUGCUGAUCUAGAGUAUCGGAGAGGAAAGUGGAAUUCCUAGUGUAGCGGUGAAAUGCGUAGAUAUUAGGAAGAACACCAGUGGCGAAGGCANUUUCUGGGACGAAAAACUGACGCUGAGGCGCG